UAUAGAGGUCUCAAGCGUUGUUCGGAUUUAUUGGGCGUAAAGGGCGCGUAGGCGGCGGGGUAAGUCGGGUGUGAAAUCUCAGGGCUCAACCCUGAAACUGCACUUGAUACUGCUCUGCUUGAGGACUGGAGAGGAGACUGGAAUUCACGGUGUAGCAGUGAAAUGCGUAGAUAUCGUGAGGAAGACCAGUGGCGAAGGCGGGUCUCUGGACAGUUCCGUGACGCUGAGGGCGCGAA
rnacentral:rRNA from 1 species